GCCACUGUAGUGUAGUGAUUUGAGUGUUGGACUAUAACUCUGGAGACUAGGGUUUGAUUCCCUACUUGGCC